AAUAAAGUGCCUGAUAAAAGGAUUAUUCUGAUAGGAUAAAUAAUAUAAUUUAAAUUAUCUUUAUUA
rnacentral:tRNA from 1 species